UACGUAGGGUGCGAGCGUUAAUCGGAAUUACUGGGCGUAAAGCGUGCGCAGGCGGUUGUGUAAGACAGAUGUGAAAUCCCCGGGCUCAACCUGGGAACUGCGUUUGUGACUGCACGGCUAGAGUACGGCAGAGGGGGGUGGAAUUCCUGGUGUAGCAGUGAAAUGCGUAGAUAUCAGGAGGAACAUCGAUGGCGAAGGCAGCCCCCUGGGCCGAUACUGACGCUCAUGCACGAAAGCGUGGGGAGCAAACAGG
rnacentral:rRNA from 1 species